AGCUCCAAUAGCGUAUAUUAAAGUUGUUGCGGUUAAAAAGUUCGUAGUUGGAUUUCUGCCAAGGACGACCGGUCCGCCCUCUGGGUGAGUAUCUGGCUUGGCCUGGGCAUCUUCUUGGAGAACGUUGCUGCACUUCGCUGUGUGGCGCGGUAUCCAGGACCUUUACUUUGAGGAAAUUAGAGUGUUUCAAGCAGGCUUUUGCCUUGAAUACAUUAGCAUGGAAUAAUAAGAUAGGACCUCGGUUCUAUUUUGUUGGUUUCUAGAGCUGGGGUAAUGAUUAAUAGGGAUAGUUGUGGGCAUUCGUAUUUAACUGUCAGAGGUGAAAUUCUUGGAUUUGUUAAAGACGGACCACUGCGAAAGCAUUUGCCAAGGAUGUUUUCA
rnacentral:rRNA from 1 species